CUUUCACCCUAUGAGGCCUAACUUGCAGUGAAAGCUAAAGAACAUCUGAUGUUUUUUGCCAGGAAUGCGGAAUAUAAAGGGAAAGAGCGCAAAAUUCGGAACCGGGUCUCCGAUCGUAAAAUGAAAGAAUGCGAAAAAAAACCUAAUACACCUUCACCGGCCAACAUCUUGUUGGUUGGUAAAGGGAAAGCAGAAAUAUAGACUCAGGAAUCGCCACAUUUUACUUUCCACGACAGUCAAAGACGUCGUUGAGUCACGUGAGAUUCAUCACAAAGCAGAGUUUCGCCUACCUACGGGGUUUGAUCAGUUUCAAC